UGAUCCUGCCGGAGGCCAUUGCUAUCAGGGUUUGACUAAGCCAUGCGAGUCGAGAGGUGUAAGACCUCGGCAUACUGCUCAGUAACACGUGGUUAACCUGCCCUAAGGUGGAGAAUACUCCCGGGAAACUGGGGCUAAUGCUCCAUAGUGGAUAUGUCCUGGAAUGGUAUAUCCUCGAAAGAUCCGUCGCCUUAGGAUGGGACUGCGUCCGAUUAGGUUGUUGGCGGGGUAACGGCCCACCAAGCCUUUUAUCGGUACGGGUUGUGGGAGCAAGAUCCCGGAGAUGGAUUCUGAGACAUGAAUCCAGGCCCUACGGGGCGCAGCAGGCGCGCAAACUUUACAAUGCGAGCAAUCGUGAUAAGGAAACCCUGAGUGCCUGUCGAUGCAGGCUGUUCAUAUAUCUAAAUCAUAUGUGAAGAAAGGGCAGGGCAAGACCGGUGCCAGCCGCCGCGGUAAUACCGGCUGCUCGAGUGAUGGCCACUAUUACUGGGUUUAAAGCGUCCGUAGCUUGACUGUUAGGUCUCUUGGGAAA
rnacentral:rRNA from 1 species